GGCAGGUGCAGCUGCAACAUGGCAAUGUCACUCCCAAAGGGGUGGAGCUUCUCAAAGUCUGGAUGGGUGAUGAUCCGGUGCACAGACAUCUUCUGGGUGUGCUGGGUUUGAUGAUACAGUUGGAUGUUUCCCAACAGAACCUGAUAGUUCUUCUCUUCUUGUUCCUGAACACAAGUAAUGAAACUUAGGAGCAUGGUGCACACUGAAGAGAAGCCCUGCAGGUGGCCAGCACAGACACUGCCAAUGCUCUCACGCAUGUCUGGGUUGAGCAGACAGACACAGGGGCCAGGGAACUCCCUGCCAGAGCUGAGGAUGAAGGAUGAGGAGGUUCUGGGCAGAUGGAGGGACAGUGGGUGGAGAGUGGGGAGGACAGUCCUGGUGGAGGGGACUACGGGUCAACGGCAGGCACU
rnacentral:lncRNA from 1 species